GUUCAAAAUCACAUAGCAGUAAGUGGUGAAGUUGAGAUGAUUCACACUCAGAUCUCUUUGCCUCUCAGAUUCCCCUUAUUCAGCUGUUUCCAUAGAGCCCUUUGAGCCACAAGAAAAAGUGCUUGCUAAGCAACUAACAAAUGUCAUGAAUAACACCAUUGUUCAAUAAUUAAGAGGAAGAGAGGAAAGGGAAAGGAAUUUAGAGUUCCUUCCUUCCUUUCUAAAAAUGAAUAAUUUUGUCUAGUAACUGUGCUGCUUGAGGGCAAAUUUGCAUCCCCAAUUUAUCCAAUCGUCGAUGGUGCUGAUUGCAUUUCUCCAAACUCUGUGAGCUGCUGAGCAACAAAGAGCAGCCCAGAAAAGACUGGCAGAGACAGUGCACAUCUGCUGGGAAGUCUUGGUUUACUCUGUGUGCCUGGGGUGAAGAUGACUGAGGAAAUCCUAGGAAAAGAAGCCUCCUCUCAGGACGCCAUCUGUUUCUUUGCAAUUGGGGAUGGUUGAAUAAUUUCCUGAGGAAUUGCUGACAGGACGCGGCCCAGGAACAGUAAUCCAGCAGGACCAGAUUUCUCAUUAAAAUUGCUCAGCUCAGCUGUGUUCUAGCGAGCCCUUGAUUUAAGGUGGUCACCCCGGUCACACAAAGGAAGGGCAAGGCGGUUGACAGAAGCCUGGCUCCGGAAGCAAAUAUGUUGUCUAUUCCAUGAAGCAUCUUUCUGACCUGAUUUCUCCUUUGGAUCAGAAUUCGAUCUGGGGGCUUUGAGCCAGCUAUUCGGCAUUUCGGUCUUGAAUGUGCCGUUCACUAGAAUAAAACCAGGACGCGCCUUCUCUUCUUCCAGCUUUCAUUUCUUGACCUUCAAAGAGGUAAAGAGAUCUAACAUCCCUUCAAGCUCAGAGUCUCCAAAGUAGCUGUAAUUUGAAGGGUAACUUUCUUCAGAAAAUUGUGAUGACUUCACAGCCAUGGCUGAAGCCAUCUGGACUCUACAGAUUACCUAAUGGAAUAGCUUUCACUCGCUCACAGGUGUUAUUCCCACAAGAAGUCUCAAAUAAACUACCUGCAUGCAAAUCUCCAUCCUAAUGGCUGUUUCCCCAAGGAACCCUACCUAAGGGUGAAGAGUCAGAGGGGAGGUGGAGGAGUCAGUGAGAUGGAUCAUUUCAAGCAUCUAUGAUAUCUCCGGCCACUCCGUUAAAGAUGGAUGCAAAUUACUGUCUUCAGGAAACCUGCAAUAAAAUUCAGUGGCUACACCCUCUCUUCUGUGACAUGCAACUCAUCCAGGACUCCACCACCAUCACCAGUCAGGAGAUACCCAGCACCUUCUUUGGAGUACAGUCUGGGUAAGACCUGCCACUUUCCUUGCAGUGGACCAUGCCCCUUCUUGAAACUUGCAAAUAUUUUAUUAACAUGUUUCAAUAGCCAUUAUACAUUUCUCUUUUGCAUCAGUAGACUGUAUUUUCUAUUUAGAUAUUUAGCUCAUGAAGAUAGAGGAAAAACUGAAACUAGUAAGACUGCUUUUGAUAUGCUAACAUUGUGCAGUGAGUAUUUGGGGACUAAAUAUUUAUGCUAUUUCUUUAAUUUGAACAGAAAGAUGAGAAAAUGAAGCAUUAAGAGAGAAGACCAUGAACAAGAAUUCUUAAGAGUCUGGAACUAAUUUCCAGCACUAGAUCUUUUAGAAGGGAAAAUUUGAGAUGACAUAAUAUCCUCUUCUUUAAUUUAUUCAGAUAUGGUGCCCUGUUUUGUUUUAUUAAUUUUAUUGGAAUA